rnacentral:rRNA from 1 species
UGGGGAAUAUUGCACAAUGGGCGCAAGCCUGAUGCAGCCAUGCCGCGUGUGUGAUGAAGGCCUUCGGGUUGUAAAGCACUUUUGGCAGGAAAGAAACGUCGCGGGUUAAUACCCCGCGAAACUGACGGUACCUGCAGAAUAAGCACCGGCUAACUACGUGCCAGCAGCCGCGGUAAUACGUAGGGUGCAAGCGUUAAUCGGAAUUACUGGGCGUAAAGCGUGCGCAGGCGGUUCGGAAAGAAAGAUGUGAAAUCCCAGAGCUUAACUUUGGAACUGCAUUUUUAACUACCGGGCUAGAGUGUGUCAGAGGGAGGUGGAAUUCCGCGUGUAGCAGUGAAAUGCGUAGAUAUGCGGAGGAACACCGAUGGCGAAGGCAGCCUCCUGGGAUAACACUGACGCUCAUGCACGAAAGCGUGGGGAGCAAACAGGAUUAGAUACCCUGGUAGUCCACGCCCUAAAACGAUGUCAACUAGCUGUUGGGCCUUCGGGCCUUGGUAGCGCAGCUAACGCGUGAAGUUGACCGCCUGGGGAGUACGGUCGCAAGAUUAAAACUCAAAUGAAUUGACGGGGUCAUAGCUGUUUCCUG